rnacentral:tRNA from 1 species
AGGAGUUAGUCUAAAAAAGACCACUAAUUUCGACUUAGUAAAUUCUGAAUUCAGAACCCCUUAU